rnacentral:rRNA from 1 species
GCGGGAAGCAGCCGGAUCCCUUCGGGGUGAAAGCUGUGGAACGAGCGGCGGACGGGUGAGUAACACGUGGGCAACCUGCCUGUAAGACUGGGAUAACUCCGGGAAACCGGGGCUAAUACCGGAUAAUCUUUUGCACCGCCUGGUGCAAAGGUAAAAGAUGGUUCUGCCAUCACUUACAGAUGGGCCCGCGGCGCAUUAGUUAGUUGGUGAGGUAAUGGCUCACCAAGACAGCGAUGCGUAGCCGACCUGAGAGGGUGAUCGGCCACACUGGGACUGAGACACGGCCCAGACCCCUACGGGAGGCAGCAGUAGGGAAUCUUCCGCAAUGGACGAAAGUCUGACGGAGCAACGCCGCGUGAGUGAUGAAGGUUUUCGGAUCGUAAAGCUCUGUUGUUAGAGAAGAACAGGUGUGAGAGGGAAUGCUCAUGCUGUGACGGUAUCUAACCAGAAAGCCACGGCUAACUACGUGCCAGCAGCCGCGGUAAUACGUAGGUGGCAAGCGUUGUCCGGAAUUAUUGGGCGUAAAGCGCGCGCAGGCGGCUUCUUAAGUCUGAUGUGAAAGCCCACGGCUCAACCGUGGAGGGUCAUUGGAAACUGGGGAGCUUGAGUGCAGAAGAGGAGAGUGGAAUUCCAUGUGUAGCGGUGAAAUGCGUAGAUAUAUGGAGGAACACCAGUGGCGAAGGCGGCUCUCUGGUCUGUAACUGACGCUGAGGCGCGAAAGCGUGGGGAGCAAACAGGAUUAGGUACCCUGGUAGUCCACG